AUUGAACGCUGGCGGCAUGCCUUACACAUGCAAGUCGAACGGUAACGCGGGGCAACCUGGCGACGAGUGGCGAACGGGUGAGUAAUGUAUCGGAACGUGCCCAGUUGUGGGGGAUAACUGCUCGAAAGAGCAGCUAAUACCGCAUACGACCUGAGGGUGAAAGCGGGGGAUCGCAAGACCUCGCGCAAUUGGAGCGGCCGAUAUCAGAUUAGGUAGUUGGUGGGGUAAAGGCCCACCAAGCCAACGAUCUGUAGCUGGUCUGAGAGGACGACCAGCCACGCUGGGACUGAGACACGGCCCAGACUCCUACGGGAGGCAGCAGUGGGGAAUUUUGGACAAUGGACGCAAGUCUGAUCCAGCCAUGCCGCGUGCGGGAAGAAGGCCUUCGGGUUGUAAACCGCUUUUGUCAGGGAAGAAAAGGGCGACUCUAAUACAGUUGCCUCAUGACGGUACCUGAAGAAUAAGCACUGGCUAACUACGUGCCAGCCGCCGCCGUAAGAC
rnacentral:rRNA from 1 species